ACAUGCCUACAUCAUAGCAUUAAUGCACUGGAUCCCAUUAGAACUCCACAGUUAAGCAUGCUCAAGCUAGAGUAGUACUGGGAUGGGUGAUCGAUUGAGAAGUCCUAUUUUUUUACAUGCC
rnacentral:rRNA from 1 species